UGAUGAAAUGAAAUAUAAACCUCUAGCGAUA
rnacentral:piRNA from 1 species